GGAGGAAGACCAUCCGAAGUAUGCAUACAGGUGCAGACUUUUAACUACCUUAUUGUUCUGCGGUCAAAAGCCGUGGUGCUGUGCGAUGAGGCUAAAUCAAGGG
rnacentral:ncRNA from 1 species